GAGGGUAUAGCUCAGUGGCAGAGUGCAUGCUUAGCAUGCAUGAGGUACUGGGUUCAAUCCCCAGUACCUCCA
rnacentral:tRNA from 1 species